rfam:Triticum urartu cultivar G1812 contig1447773, whole genome shotgun sequence.
GUACUACUCCUUCUGAUCCAUAUUAGUUGUCGCUCAAACGGAUGUAUCUAGCAUGCUAGAUACAUCCGUUUGAGCGACAACUAAUAUGGAUCAGAAGGAGUAGUAC